ACGGGAGUAGCAAUACUCCAGUGGCGGACGGGUGAGUAACGCGUGAGAAUCUACCUUCUGGUCGGGGACAACCACUGGAAACGGUGGCUAAUACCGGAUAUGCCGCAACGUGAAAGGUUUAUCGCCAGAAGAGGAGCUCGCGUCUGAUUAGCUAGUUGGUAGGGUAAAAGCCUACCAAGGCAUCGAUCAGUAGCUGGUCUGAGAGGACGAUCAGCCACACUGGGACUGAGACACGGCCCAGACUCCUACGGGAGGCAGCAGUGGGGAAUUUUCCGCAAUGGGCGAAAGCCUGACGGAGCAAGACCGCGUGAGGGAAGAAGGCUCUUGGGUCGUAAACCUCUUUUGUUAGGGAAGAACACAAUGACGGUACCUAACGAAUCAGCCUCGGCUAACUCCGUGCCAGCAGCCGCGGUAAUACGGAGGAGGCAAGCGUUAUCCGGAAUUAUUGGGCGUAAAGCGUCCGCAGGUGGCGAUUCAAGUCUGCGGUCAAAGACUGGGGCUUAACCCUGGAAAGGCCGUGGAAACUGAAGAGCUAGAGUGCAGUAGGGGUAGAGGGAAUUCCCGGUGUAGCGGUGAAAUGCGUAGAGCUCGGGAAGAACAUCGGUGGCGAAAGCGCUCUGCUGGACUGCAACUGACACUCAGGGACGAAAGCUAGGGGAGCGAAUGGGAU
rnacentral:rRNA from 1 species